AUGUUGUGGUCUCUAGUUCUGCUCCUAGCUUUCCUGGCUCCUGGAAAUCAGAAAGCUUCCAACAUGGAAAUGAGACAAAAGUCAAUCAUCAGGCCAACUGAGGCAUCGGUCGCAAUCACUUGUGAUCUUCCAGAUCAGAACACCAAAUACGUGCACUGGUACCGAUACCAAGAGGGAAGAGCCCUGCAACGCUUCCUUUACUACAAUUUCCGUGACUCAAAGGUGGUGUUGGACUCAGGGUUCAGUUCAGGGAAAUAUGAUGCUUACGAAAUUGCAAGGAAGAGCUGUGUAUUUGUACUCAGUAAUCUGGAAAAAAGUGAUUCUGGUGUGUAUUACUGUGCCACUUGGAACUGA